UAAAAUAAUUUACUAAUAAUUAAAAUUGCAUUAAAUAAAGAUCCUAAAUAUUACAUCAAAAAACACCUAAAGACAUACAUUAAAAAUUACUUAAAUCCUAAAAAAUAUAUUUAAAACUAACAUUAAAAUAUCUAAUUUCAAAGAAAAAAAAAAGAAAAAAAAAGGUGAUUCUCGGGUAUACUCGAACAAUCGAGUAUACCUCGAGUAGGCAAGCUCUGCAAUGGGGCUACUCGAGUAAGGGGCUACUCGAUAGCCACUCGAGUAAGGGCAUCGAGUAGCCCGUUGUGGUUGCUCUU
rnacentral:lncRNA from 1 species